AGAUUAAAAUUGCCAGAAACCCUAAAUUAAAUAAAAAAGAUCCCUCUCCAUCUCCCUUCCCAACGGCAUCUCCAUCUCCAUCUCCAUCUCCAUAUCUCAAUUGGCAGAAUUGACUCGUGUUUUCCCCACACCAAGAGUCAUAGCCCUCGCAGAUUUCACGCCGCCGGCCUGCUUGCCCGAAGAAGAAAGCCGAGGACUUGGCUGUCUCGGAGUUUGGUCCCUGUCGCGGCUGCUACUCGCCAUCAUCAGACGCGUCGUCUCCUGCAGCAGGUCGCUGGUCCGGAUUCGUGGGCACCGUCGCGUGGCUGCUGACUCGCGGCCUUGCCGCCGCUGUCAACUGCGCGAACCCGUCGCCGUCCGCCCUCCCAUCGUUUGAUCCAGCUGAGCAAAGUGGGGACUUAUCAAGAUCCAUGGGCAUCCCAACUUUCAAUCGAACUAUGGCCUUCCUGAAAUCCACACAGAUAGGCUACAAUGCCAUGGGCUUAUACUGGUGUUGGGAAAUGAAGCUUUGGAAAUCAUAGAAUAUGCUUUUUCAAAAGAUAGGUUGUGAAGACUUUUGACUUCAGCCUCACUGGCGCCUCUUCAAGAUCUUGUAAAUAUGUCCUGAAUACUAUGAUGCAGACUUUUAAGAACAAGAGGCUUGCUUAUGCAGUUAAGGAGAGUACUCUUGAUAGUCUCAUCAUGGAACUAUUGCUCCUGCUUUUGGAUGAUAGUAAUCCCCAAUGGAUGAUGGAAGUCAACUUUUAAGAGCUUUGAAUGUUCUGAUGUUAAAGAUUCUGGAUAACGUAGAAUGUAUUUCAUCAUUUCCUGUGCUUAUAUAUCUGUCAAGACCUGGAUCCAUCAAGAUGGCCAUCUCCAUCAAAUGAUCUCUUGAAAUCAGAAACCAGAAGUUCUCUGAUUUGGUUGUUAAAUGUUUGAUCAUCCUCACAAAGGUUAAGGAGCCAAAACCAGAAGCUGUUCCUUAGGCUGUGGGUUCAGUACCCACUUAAGAGUGUAGCUGAUGCACCUCAGGACCUUAUCGAUCCAGUUGAUAUAUUAAAGCCUUUGGAGAAGUCUGGAUUUUAGGAAGCGGUGACAGCUUCAAAAUGGUGGGAGAGGAAAGAGGCUGUUGCUGAACUAGCCGAACUUGCUUCAACCAAAAAGAUUUCUCUUGGAGAUUUUUCAGAAAGUUUGUCAUACAUUAAAGAAGGUUAUCACGAAUGUAAAGGUUACUGAAGGAAGGAAAAAAAGGAAACAAAAAGAAAAAAACAUUGUUGUUGCAGCUGAAGCUAUUCAAGAGCUGGGCAACCUUCCUAAGGGCAGGAGAACCCUUCCUACAAAAAAGAAAAAAAAGAAAAAAAGGAACGAAAAUGAAAAAAGCAAAAAAAGGAAAAAAAGGAAAAAAUAAUUGCUGAUGCAUUUAAAGCUAUUCAAGCACUGGGAAACUUUGCUGGGGAUCCGAGAGCCCAUUUUUCGGCCAGUUGUCGCUUCUUACUUGCCUGUAAACCGCACCUCAGGACCUUGUCGAUCCAGUUGAUAUAUUAAAGCCUCCUUAGGAGAAGUCUGGAUUUUGGGAAGCGGUGAUAGCUUCAAAAUGGCGUGAGAGGAAAGAAGCUGUUGCUGAACUAACCGAACUUGCUUCCACCAAAAAGAUUUCUCUUGGAGAUUUUUUCAGAAAGUUUGUCAUACAUUAAAGAAGGUGAUCAGGAAUGUAAAUGUUACUGAAGGAAGGAAAAAAAAGGAAAAAACAUUGUUGUCGCCGCUGAAGCUAUUCAAGCUCUGGGCAACCUUCCUAAUGGCCUGAGAACCCUUCUAAAAAAAAGAGAAAAAAGGAAAAAAAGGAAAAAAAAAAGAAAAAAAGUAAAAAAAGGGAAAAAGAGAAAAAAAAUAAUUGCUACUGCGUAUAAAGCUAUUCAAGCAUUGGGCAACGUUGCUAGACUUUUCAGAACAAGAGCCUUGCUUAUGCAGUUAAGGAGUGUACUCUGAUAGUCUCAUCAAUGAACUGUUUCUCUGGCUUUUGGAUGAUAGGCUUCCGGAGAUGGAUGAUGGACGUCAAAUUUUAACUGCUUUGAAUGUUCUAAUGUUAAAGAUUCUGGAUAACGCAUAAUAUACGUCAUCAUUUCCUGUGCCUAUAAAUCUGUUAAGACCUCUGGAUCCAUCAAGAUGUCCAUCUUCAGAUCAGAAACCUAAAACCUAAAGUUCUCUGAUUUGGUUUUUAACUGUUUGAUCAUGCUCUAAAGGAAUCUGCAACUCCAAAGAAGGUUGUUAAAGUAACUUAACUGGUGGCAUAGAUGGACUUCCACGUGAAGAUAUAAGUGAAAAGUCACCCCCACUUUGUUAAAACGCUUAUAGAGUUCUGAUUGGAAGGUCCACUUGGAAUCUAUUGAAAAUGUAACCAAAAUUCUGGAAGAGGAGAACUGGAACUGGAGAUCUAUUUGGAGCUCUAUAGGGCGUCUACACGUCAGUUCUAAAAUUUGAUAAUUGCUACUUUGUCCACAGUUGGUGCUCUUCGGACUACAAUGGGACAUCCAGUUGAGAAGUCAAUCUAGCUCCUGUGAAGGCUUGAUCAUUUACACGAAUGUAGCUCGUGCAAGGGAUUCUUUCAGAUUUUUCAGAUGUCUUGAAAUGCCUUGGUGACAACAAAAAGCAUAUGCAUGAGUGUACAUCGAGUACCUUAGAUACUUGGCUUGAGUGUACAUCUGGCCAAUGUUGUCAAGUCACCACGUAGCCAAAGGUUCUAGGUUUUGUGUGAACCCCAAUUUAUGUGCAUCACUGAUUCUGACCAACCAUCUUAAGCUUUAAUGAAUUGAAGCUGCCUUUGUAAAUGCUCCUCAGGACCUUAUCGAUCCAGUUGAUAUAUUAAAGCCUUUGGAGAAGUCUGGAUAUUGGGAAGCGGUGAAAGCUUCAAAAUGGUGGGAGAGGAAAGAGGUUGUUGCCGAACUUGCCGAACUUGCUUCAACCAAAAAGAUUUCUCUUGGAGAUUUUUUCAGAAAGUUUGUCAUACAUUAAAGAAGGUAAUGACGAAUGUAAAUGUUACAGAUGGAAAAAAAAAGAAAAAAAAGAAAAAAACAUUGUUGUUGCAGCUGAAGCUAUUCAAGCGUUGGGCAAACUUGGCAUGAGAACCCUUCCAAAAAAAAGAAAGAAAAAGGAAAAAAAAGGAAAAAAAGGAAAAAAAAAAGAAAAAAAAAUGCUGAUGUAUUUAAAGCUAUUCAAGCACUGGGCAACUGUGCUAGGGAUCCGAGUGCCCAUUUUUCGGCCAGUUGUUGCUUCUUAUUUGCCUGUAAACCGCACCUCAGGACCUUAUCGAUCAAGUUGAUAUAUUAAAGCCUCAUUAGGAUAAGUCUGGAUUUUGCGAAGCGGUGAAAGCUUCAAAAUGGCAUGAGAGGAAAGAAGCUGUUGCUGAACUAACCGAACUUGCUUCCACCAAAAAGAUUUAUCUUGGAGAUUUUUCUGAAAGUUUGUCAGUACAUUAAAGAAGGUUAUCACGAAUGUAAAUGUUACUGAAGGAAGGAAAAAAAGAAAAAAAACAUUGUUGUUGCAGCUGAAGCUAUUCAAGCGCUGGGCAACCUUCCUAAGGGCCUGGGAACCCUUCUUAAAAAAGAGGGAUAACGCAGAAUAUUCGUCAUGAUUUCCUGUGCCUAUAAAUCUGUUAAGACCUCUGGAUCCAUCAAGAUGUCCAUCUUCAGAUCAGAAACCUAAAACCUAAAGUUCUCUGAUUUGGUUUUUAAAUGUUUGAUCAUGCUCUAAAGGAAUCUGCAACUCCAAAGAAGGUUGUUAAAGUAACUUAACUGGUGGCAUAGAUGGACUUCCACGUGAAGAUAUAAGUGAAAAGGUCACCCCCACUUUGUUAAAAGGCUUAUAGAGUUCUGAUUGGAAGGUCCACUUGGAAUCUAUUGAAAAUGUAACCAAAAUUCUGGACGAGGAGAACUGGAACUGGAGAUCUAUUUGGAGCUCUAUAGGGCGUCUACACGUCAGUUCUAAAAUUUGAUAAUUGCUACUUUGUCCACAGUUGGUGCUCUUCGGACUACAAUGGGACAUCCAGUUGAGAAGUCAAUCUAGCUCCUGUGAAGGCUUGAUCAUUUACACGAAUGUAGCUCGUGCAAGGGAUUCUUUCAGAUUUUUCAGAUGUCUUGAAAUGCCUUGGUGACAACAAAAAGCAUAUGCAUGAGUGUACAUCGAGUACCUUAGAUACUUGGCUUGAGUGUACAUCUGGCCAAUGUUGUCAAGUCACCACGUAGCCAAAGGUCGAGGUUCUAGGUUUUGUGUGAACCCCAAUUUAUGUGCAUCACUGAUUCUGACCAACCAUCUUAAGCUUUAAUGAAUUGAAGCUGCCUUUGUAAAUGCUCCUCAGGACCUUAUCGAUCCAGUUGAUAUAUUAAAGCCUUUGGAGAAGUCUGGAUAUUGGGAAGCGGUGAAAGCUUCAAAAUGGUGGGAGAGGAAAGAGGUUGUUGCUGAACUUGCCGAACUUGCUUCAACCAAAAAGAUUUCUCUUGGAGAUUUUUUCAGAAAGUUUGUCAUACAUUAAAGAAGGUAAUGACGAAUGUAAAUGUUACAGAUGGGAAAAAAAAGAAAAAAAAGAAAAAAACAUUGUUGUUGCAGCUGAAGCUAUUCAAGCGCUGGGCAACCUUGGCAUGAGAACCCUUCCUAAAAAAAGAAAGAAAAAAGAAAAAAAAGGAAAAAAAGGAAAAAAAAAGAAAAAAAAAUGCUGAUGUAUUUAAAGCUAUUCAAGCACUGGGCAACUGUGCUAGGGAUCCGAGAGCCCAUUUUUCGGCCAGUUGUUGCUUCUUAUUUGCCUGUAAACCGCACCUCAGGACCUUAUCGAUCAAGUUGAUAUAUUAAAGCCUCAUUAGGAUAAGUCUGGAUUUUGCGAAGCGGUGAAAGCUUCAAAAUGGCAUGAGAGGAAAGAAGCUGUUGCUGAACUAACCGAACUUGCUUCCACCAAAAAGAUUUAUCUUGGAGAUUUUUCUGAAAGUUUGUCAGUACAUUAAAGAAGGUUAUCACGAAUGUAAAUGUUACUGAAGGAAGGAAAAAAAGAAAAAAACAUUGUUGUUGCAGCUGAAGCUAUUCAAGUGCUGGGCAACCUUCCUAAGGGCCUGGGAACCCUUCUUAAAACAAGGGAUAACACAGAAUAUUCGUCAUGAUUUCCUGUGCCUAUAAAUCUGUUAAGACCUCUGGAUCCAUCAAGAUGUCCAUCUUCAGAUCAGAAACCUAAAACCUAAAGUUCUCUGAUUUGGUUUUUAACUGUUUGAUCAUGCUCUAAAGGAAUCUGCAACUCCAAAGAAGGUUGUUAAAGUAACUUAACUGGUGGCAUAGAUGGACUUCCACGUGAAGAUAUAAGUGAAAAGGUCACCCCCACUUUGUUAAAAGGCUUAUAGAGUUCUGAUUGGAAGGUCCACUUGGAAUCUAUUGAAAAUGUAACCAAAAUUCUGGACGAGGAGAACUGGAACUGGAGAUCUAUUUGGAGCUCUAUAGGGCGUCUACACGUCAGUUCUAAAAUUUGAUAAUUGCUACUUUGUCCACAGUUGGUGCUCUUCGGACUACAAUGGGACAUCCAGUUGAGAAGUCAAUCUAGCUCCUGUGAAGGCUUGAUCAUUUACACGAAUGUAGCUCGAGCAAGGGAUUCUUUCAGAUUUUUCAGAUGUCUUGAAAUGCCUUGGUGACAACAAAAAGCAUAUGCAUGAGUGUACAUCGAGUACCUUAGAUACCUGGCUUGAGUGUACAUCUGGCCAAUGUUGUCAAGUCACCACGUAGCCAAAGGUCGAGGUUUUGUGUGAACCCCAAUUUAUGUGCAUCACUGAUUCUGACCAACCAUCUUAAGCUUUAAUGAAUUGAAGCUGCCUUUGUAAAUGCUCCUCAGGACCUUAUCGAUCCAGUUGAUAUAUUAAAGCCUUUGGAGAAGUCUGGAUAUUGGGAAGCGGUGAAAGCUUCAAAAUGGUGGGAGAGGAAAGAGGUUGUUGCUGAACUUGCCGAACUUGCUUCAACCAAAAAGAUUUCUCUUGGAGAUUUUUUCAGAAAGUUUGUCAUACAUUGAAGAAGGUAAUGACGAAUGUAAAUGUUACAGAUGGAAAAAAAAAAGAAAAAAAAGAAAAAAAUAUUGUUGUUGCAGCUGAAGCUAUUCAAGCGCUGGGCAACCUUGGCAUGAGAACCCUUCCUAAAAAAAGAAAGAAAAAAGAAAAAAAAGUAUAAAAAGGAAAAAAAAAAGAAAAAAAAUGCUGAUGUAUUUAAAGCUAUUCAAGCACUGGGCAACUGUGCUAGGGAUCCGAGAGCCCAUUUUUCGGCCAGUUGUUGCUUCUUAUUUGCCUGUAAACCGCACCUCAGGACCUUAUCGAUCAAGUUGAUAUAUUAAAGCCUCAUUAGGAUAAGUCUGGAUUUUGCGAAGCGGUGAAAGCUUCAAAAUGGCAUGAGAGGAAAGAAGCUGUUGCUGAACUAACCGAACUUGCUUCCACCAAAAAGAUUUAUCUUGGAGAUUUUUCUGAAAGUUUGUCUGUACAUUAAAGAAGGUUAUCACGAAUGUAAAUGUUACUGAAGAAAGGAAAAAAAGAAAAAAACAUUGUUUUUGCAGCUGAAGCUAUUCAAGCGCUGGGCAACCUUCCUAAGCGCCUGGGAACCUUCUUAAAAAAAAGGGAUAAUGCAGAAUAUUCGUCAUGAUUUCCUGUGCCUAUAAAUCUGUUAAGACCUCUGGAUCCAUCAAGUUGUCCAUCUUCAGAUCAGAAACCUAAAACCUAAAGUUCUCUGAUUUGGUUUUUAAAUGUUUGAUCAUGCUCUAAAGGAAUCUGCAACUCCAAAGAAGGUUGUUAAUGUAACUUAACUGGUGGCAUAGAUGGACUUCCACGUGAUGAUAUAAGUGAAAAGGUCACCCCCACUUUGUUAAAAGGCUUAUAGAGUUCUGAUUGGAAGGUCCACUUGGAAUCUAUUGAAAAUGUAACCAAAAUUCUGGAAGAGGAGAACUGGAACUGGAGAUCUAUUUGGAGCUCUAUAGGGCGUCUACACGUCAGUUCUAAAAUUUGAUAAUUGCUACUUUGUCCACAGUUGGUGCUCUUCGGACUACAAUGGGACAUCCAGUUGAGAAGUCAAUCUAGCUCCUGUGAAGGCUUGAUCAUUUACACGAAUGUAGCUCGUGCAAGGGAUUCUUUCAGAUUUUUCAGAUGUCUUGAAAUGCCUUGGUGACAACAAAAAGCAUAUGCAUGAGUGUACAUCGAGUACCUUAGAUACUUGGCUUGAGUGUACAUCUGGCCAAUGUUGUCAAGUCACCACGUAGCCAAAGGUUCUAGGUUUUGUGUGAACCCCAAUUUAUGUGCAUCACUGAUUCUGACCAACCAUCUUAAGCUUUAAUGAAUUGAAGCUGCCUUUGUAAAUGUUCCUCAGGACCUUAUCGAUCCAGUUGAUAUAUUAAAGCCUUUGGAGAAGUCUGGAUAUUGGGAAGCGGUGAAAGCUUCAAAAUGGUGGGAGAGGAAAGAGGUUGUUGCUGAACUUGCCGAACUUGCUUCAACCAAAAAGAUUUCUCUUGGAGAUUUUUUCAGAAAGUUUGUCAUACAUUAAAGAAGGUAAUGACGAAUGUAAAUGUUACAGAUGGAAAAAAAAGAAAAAAAAGAAAAAAACAUUGUUGUUGCAGCUGAAGCUAUUCAAGCGCUGGGCAACCUUGGCAUGAGAACCCUUCCUAAAAAAAAGAAAGAAAAAAGAAAAAAAAGUAAAAAAAGGAAAAAAAAAAAGAAAAAAAAUGCUGAUGUAUUUAAAGCUAUUCAAGCACUGGGCAACUGUGCUAGGGAUCCGAGAGCCCAUUUUUCGGCCAGUUGUUGCUUCUUAUUUGCCUGUAAACCGCACCUCAGGACCUUAUCGAUCAAGUUGAUAUAUUAAAGCCUCAUUAGGAUAAGUCUGGAUUUUGCGAAGCGGUGAAAGCUUCAAAAUGGCAUGAGAGGAAAGAAGCUGUUGCUGAACUAACCGAACUUGCUUCCACCAAAAAGAUUUAUCUUGGAGAUUUUUCUGAAAGUUUGUCAGUACAUUAAAGAAGGUUAUCACGAAUGUAAAUGUUACUGAAGGAAGGAAAAAAAGAAAAAAAACAUUGUUGUUGCAGCUGAAGCUAUUCAAGCGCUGGGCAACCUUCCUAAGGGCCUGGGAACCCUUCUUAAAAAAGAGGGAUAACGCAGAAUAUUCGUCAUGAUUUCCUGUGCCUAUAAAUCUGUUAAGACCUCUGGAUCCAUCAAGUUGUCCAUCUUCAGAUCAGAAACCUAAAACCUAAAGUUCUCUGAUUUGGUUUUUAAAUGUUUGAUCAUGCUCUAAAGGAAUCUGCAACUCCAAAGAAGGUUGUUAAAGUAACUUAACUGGUGGCAUAGAUGGACUUCCACGUGAAGAUAUAAGUGAAAAGGUCACCCCCACUUUGUUAAAAGGCUUAUAGAGUUCUGAUUGGAAGGUCCACUUGGAAUCUAUUGAAAAUGUAACCAAAAUUCUGGAAGAGGAGAACUGGAACUGGAGAUCUAUUUGGAGCUCUAUAGGGCGUCUACACGUCAGUUCUAAAAUUUGAUAAUUGCUACUUUGUCCACAGUUGGUGCUCUUCGGACUACAAUGGGACAUCCAGUUGAGAAGUCAAUCUAGCUCCUGUGAAGGCUUGAUCAUUUACACGAAUGUAGCUCGUGCAAGGGAUUCUUUCAGAUUUUUCAGAUGUCUUGAAAUGCCUUGGUGACAACAAAAAGCAUAUGCAUGAGUGUACAUCGAGUACCUUAGAUACUUGGCUUGAGUGUACAUCUGGCCAAUGUUGUCAAGUCACCACGUAGCCAAAGGUUCUAGGUUUUGUGUGAACCCCAAUUUAUGUGCAUCACUGAUUCUGACCAACCAUCUUAAGCUUUAAUGAAUUGAAGCUGCCUUUGUAAAUGCUCCUCAGGACCUUAUCGAUCCAGUUGAUAUAUUAAAGCCUUUGGAGAAGUCUGGAUAUUGGGAAGCGGUGAAAGCUUCAAAAUGGUGGGAGAGGAAAGAGGUUGUUGCCGAACUUGCCGAACUUGCUUCAACCAAAAAGAUUUCUCUUGGAGAUUUUUUCAGAAAGUUUGUCAUACAUUAAAGAAGGUAAUGACGAAUGUAAAUGUUACAGAUGGAAAAAAAAAGAAAAAAAAGAAAAAAACAUUGUUGUUGCAGCUGAAGCUAUUCAAGCGUUGGGCAAACUUGGCAUGAGAACCCUUCCAAAAAAAAGAAAGAAAAAGGAAAAAAAAAGGAAAAAAAGGAAAAAAAAAAGAAAAAAAAAAUGCUGAUGUAUUUAAAGCUAUUCAAGCACUGGGCAACUGUGCUAGGGAUCCGAGUGCCCAUUUUUCGGCCAGUUGUUGCUUCUUAUUUGCCUGUAAACCGCACCUCAGGACCUUAUCGAUCAAGUUGAUAUAUUAAAGCCUCAUUAGGAUAAGUCUGGAUUUUGCGAAGCGGUGAAAGCUUCAAAAUGGCAUGAGAGGAAAGAAGCUGUUGCUGAACUAACCGAACUUGCUUCCACCAAAAAGAUUUAUCUUGGAGAUUUUUCUGAAAGUUUGUCAGUACAUUAAAGAAGGUUAUCACGAAUGUAAAUGUUACUGAAGGAAGGAAAAAAAGAAAAAAAACAUUGUUGUUGCAGCUGAAGCUAUUCAAGCGCUGGGCAACCUUCCUAAGGGCCUGGGAACCCUUCUUAAAAAAGAGGGAUAACGCAGAAUAUUCGUCAUGAUUUCCUGUGCCUAUAAAUCUGUUAAGACCUCUGGAUCCAUCAAGAUGUCCAUCUUCAGAUCAGAAACCUAAAACCUAAAGUUCUCUGAUUUGGUUUUUAAAUGUUUGAUCAUGCUCUAAAGGAAUCUGCAACUCCAAAGAAGGUUGUUAAAGUAACUUAACUGGUGGCAUAGAUGGACUUCCACGUGAAGAUAUAAGUGAAAAGGUCACCCCCACUUUGUUAAAAGGCUUAUAGAGUUCUGAUUGGAAGGUCCACUUGGAAUCUAUUGAAAAUGUAACCAAAAUUCUGGACGAGGAGAACUGGAACUGGAGAUCUAUUUGGAGCUCUAUAGGGCGUCUACACGUCAGUUCUAAAAUUUGAUAAUUGCUACUUUGUCCACAGUUGGUGCUCUUCGGACUACAAUGGGACAUCCAGUUGAGAAGUCAAUCUAGCUCCUGUGAAGGCUUGAUCAUUUACACGAAUGUAGCUCGUGCAAGGGAUUCUUUCAGAUUUUUCAGAUGUCUUGAAAUGCCUUGGUGACAACAAAAAGCAUAUGCAUGAGUGUACAUCGAGUACCUUAGAUACUUGGCUUGAGUGUACAUCUGGCCAAUGUUGUCAAGUCACCACGUAGCCAAAGGUCGAGGUUCUAGGUUUUGUGUGAACCCCAAUUUAUGUGCAUCACUGAUUCUGACCAACCAUCUUAAGCUUUAAUGAAUUGAAGCUGCCUUUGUAAAUGCUCCUCAGGACCUUAUCGAUCCAGUUGAUAUAUUAAAGCCUUUGGAGAAGUCUAGAUAUUGGGAAGCGGUGAAAGCUUCAAAAUGGUGGGAGAGGAAAGAGGUUGUUGCUGAACUUGCCGAACUUGCUUCAACCAAAAAGAUUUCUCUUGGAGAUUUUUUCAAAAAGUUUGUCAUACAUUAAAGAAGAUGGGGCUGCUUUUUCAAAAUUGUUAUCUUGCUACUAUGUUUUUUGUUUCAGCUAUUGUGUCUUUAAAGACCAGAUUGAAUAACAAACGAAUUUGGAUCCAUCUGUUGAGAUGUUGAUCCUUUUACUGUGUUAUUCCUGGCUGGAAUGAGAAAAAUGUUCAGGAGUUGCAUCCAGGAAUUAACUGCAUCUGGUGAACAGGAAUUUACCGUUUUUUGCUUUUCUUGAAGAUAUAAAGGUAUUUCUGCAUUAAACCUGCUUUACUACGAGGCAUCUGCACUCCAAAGGAGGUUGUUAAAGUAACUUAUUUUACGUCAUCUGCGGUGACUGGUGGCAUGGAUUGUCUUCCAUGUGAAGAUAUCAGUGAAAAGAUCACCCCCACUUUCUUUUAGAGAGUUCUGAUUGGAAGGUCCGCUUGGAAUCUAUUGAAAGUGUGACCAAAAUUCUGGAAGAGGUGAACAAACAUGUUCUGCUGGCUGGAACUGGAGAUCUAUUUGGAGCUAUAAAACGGCGUCUACAUGACACUAACGAAAAUUUGAUUAUUGCUACUUUAUCCACAAUUGGUGCUCUCUUAUACUAUUAGUUAUUGGUUUAUUAAGAGUCUCUUGCGCUAACUAACUGAGAUUCACAAUACCAAUAUUAUAAAUACUUGGGAUCAUUUAACAAAUCCCGAAUUCCUCAAAGCCAAUAGCUGUACAUAUGCGUGAGUGGUCAUUGAGUACCUUAGAUACUUGGCUCUGCUCAUCCCAAUAAAAUGGUCUGUAGUCAAUUUGGAAAAUAGUGUUUUUCGAACUUCUGUUUUGAGUAUUGUUGACCUCAUCUUUUGUUGUGUCUACCACUACCAUGUAUUUCAGCUGUUCUCACAGACGCUAGGAUAAAUCAGCAAAUGUUCGUAAAGCGGCUGAAGCAUACUUUAAUCUAUUGAGGGUUUGUGGACAAGAAACGGUAUGGACAUCCAUAAUUUUUAUUACUUGAUCGAGGCUUGCUAACUCUUUUAGCUGCUAGAUUGCACCACAUCUAUUUUAUAUCUCUCCCAUUAUAAGUAUCCAAGAAUUUGAGAGAUAUACAAGGUUCUGCUUUAGCUAUUAUUGGCAAACAACUGAAGCCAUAUUGAGCUUUUCAAGAUAAUUAUGAAUCUGGUGGAUAUGUUUUGUUAAGCAUCACGGCAGAAAUCAUCCUAAAGACAGCAAAACCAAAUGGUCAUGGUGACCGCGAAUCUUGGCAUGGAAGUAGAAAUGCACCUUCAGAGUUGGCACCUAACAAGGGAUUCAUGCAAGAAUCCAUCUUGUCUGUUCAAGACAUCGAUAUUCAGUCAUGAGUUUUGAUCAGCAAGGAUGACAGGGAAAUGAUUAUUGUUUGCAGAUUCAAAUUCGAAGAAUUGCAUAUAGAGCACAUUCAAGAUCUUUCGUUUUGAGGUUUCGUUUCUCUUUUAAGAUUUCUUUAUUAAUUUUGUGGGAUUAGCUUUUCUAUACCACAGAGGAGGCCUUCAUACAACUUUUUAGAACUUUUUUCAGCUUUUGGGUUUGGGUAAAUUGUUAGACCAUUAGUGUUAGACUUGUUUUGGCAUCUGUGUGGCUUAUAUAAUUUUUUUGUAUGUGAUCAUAUGUUACAUUCUUUAGAGAUGUUAGUAAGUGACUUUGCUUACUUCUCAAACAUUAUGAUAUCAAAUUGAUGGCAUUGAGAUGUUGCAGAAGGUUCUUUCAACACAAAUUCUAGUUUUGAUUGUGUAACUUGAAAUUUUCUUUUAACCUUCGAUUUGUUUAUGAUAUACAGGCUCUUCCUCCAUGGGAAGGGAGGUGAUUGAAGUCUUAGAUAUACUCUUAAUUUGUGUUAAGGUUUUGUGAAUCCAACACAUCAUGCUUAUUAAUGGUAAAUAGGAUUUUAUUAAUCUGUCUGUUUUUUGUGUCAGCAUGCCUGUGUGCUUUACUCACUGAAUUAAAGCUCACUGAAUUCACUGAAAAGGAAAUGAGUGGUAGCAUAUUUGAUGAGUAUUCUCAAUAUUAGAACAUUUGUUUAUUCUGCUUGUUUGUGGAAUUGCUAAAAUUACAAAUUUUUAUUGAUUCUCCAAUAUCUAGCUCUCUAAUGAUGUUAUAGCCGGUGUAUAUACAUGUUCUGAUAAUUCUUAUCUAUCAUAUUUAAACUAUCUCGUAUCCUUUCUUAACUUUUGAGCUUCUGUAACUUAGAUAAGGUACUUAAUUUCAUCCCGGGCUUCUGGAUCUGUUGAAAAAUGAGGGCUACACUAUGACAGAAGCAGAGGCAACCCAUCUUUCUUCCUUGCUUGGUUGAGAAGGAGAAAUUGAAGGAGAAGAAACCCUACUUUAAUGGAGGCCCUUACUCAAACCCUUCAAGCAAUGCACAAGUCUGGAUGCUUGAGUCUAACUGACAUAGUUGAAGGUCUAAAAGCUGGAUAAAGAACAUUCGUUGUACGAACCAUAGUAAAGAACACAUCUUUUUUGUACCUUGAGUAACUAUAUGCAUCUAUUGGCUCAAACAAUAGUCAUUUUAUGAUUCCCUUAAUGAUGGAACACCUGAUGUGAGGGAUGCAGCCAAAGCUUUCUCAGCUUUAGCAGCUAGGCUAUUGACAAAGUAACUAUUUCAAGAUUUUCCAUCUACAUCUCGCUGGUUUUAAUUGCCAAUUUAGCUAUUUUGACAUCUUUGUUAUUUAAAUGGUUUGCAUGAGACCAUUCGAGAGGUGUCAAUAAAAGCUGGAUGAUGUAAGACAAAAGAAGUUUGGUAUCUGAUUUUUGUUAUAGUUAUAUACUGUGAAUUAUAGUAA